rnacentral:rRNA from 1 species
UACGGAGGCAGCAGGGGGAAUAUUGCACAAUGGGCGCAAGCCUGAUGCAGCCAUGCCGCGUGUAUGAAAAAGGCCUUCGGGUUGUAAAGUACUUUCAGUCGUGAGGAAGGUGUUAAGGUUAAUAACCUUAGCAAUUGACGUUAGCGACAGAAGAAGCACCGGCUAACUCCGUGCCAGCAGCCGCGGUAAUACGGAGGGUGCGAGCGUUAAUCGGAAUUACUGGGCGUAAAGGGCACGCAGGCGGUUAAUUAAGUUGGAUGUGAAAUCCCCGGGCUUAACCUGGGAAUGGCAUUCAAGACUGGUUAGCUAGAGUCUUGUAGAGGGGGUAGAAUUCCAUGUGUAGCGGUGAAAUGCGUAGAGAUGUGGAGGAAUACCGGUGGCGAAGGCGGCCCCUGGACAAAGACUGACGCUCAUGUGCGAAAGCGUGGGGAGCAAACAGGGAUUAGAUACC